CCUACGGGCUGCAGCAGUGGGGAAUAUUGCACAAUGGGCGCAAGCCUGAUGCAGCCAUGCCGCGUGUAUGAAGAAGGCCCUAGGGUCGUAAAGUACUUUCAGUCGGGAGGAAGGCGUUGACGCUAAUAUCAUCAACGAUUGACGUUACCGACAGAAGAAGCACCGGCUAACUCCGUGCCAGCAGCCGCGGUAAUACGGAGGGUGCAAGCGUUAAUCGGAAUUACUGGGCGUAAAGCGCACGCAGGCGGUUGAUUAAGUUAGAUGUGAAAUCCCCGGGCUUAACCUGGGAAUGGCAUCUAAGACUGGUCAGCUAGGGUCCUGUAGAGGGGGGUAGAAUUCCAUGUGUAGCGGUGAAAUGCGUAGAGAUGUGGAGGAAUACCGGUGGCGAAGGCGGCCCCCUGACAAAGACUGACGCUCAGGUGCGAAAGCGUGGGGAGCAAACAGGAUUAGAUACCCUCGUAGUC
rnacentral:rRNA from 1 species